rnacentral:lncRNA from 1 species
UUCGUAUUUGUUUUGUCAACUCUAGUGAGCUUUGUUUGAAUUGACCUUGCCUCCCUUCAUCAGGCUCAAUGGCUUCCAGGGAGUAAUAAUGUUGGGGGAUCUGUAUGUUUACCUUUCCAUUGGGAACUCAGCCUCCUCAUUCACUAUUUUCCUAUGAUAUAACCGCCCAAGGUUUCAUUUAAUACUAAGAAAUGAUCCUAUUUCAGAGUGAACCCCCAAACUGGUUCCUAAUGAAUGUGCUUAUUGUUCUUCCCUCUUAGAGAUAUCUAGCCUUUGUCUUUAGCCAUAACGCUCACCUCUACAUAAGGGCAAUUGGUUGAAUCUCCAUCUCACUGCUCGCUCCCUGAUAAGGCAUCGAGAGCAAGGAAGCUGCCAUGAUGACUCUGAUUCAACUGAAGUCAAUUAAACACUGAACCAAUCUAUCUAAAGAUCUUGGUAUUGGAAGCAGGCUUUAAGGACUGAGAAUGGGAAAGGAACUAGCUUCAUUUGAGUUAAGGCUUCACUCCUGAUUCUCUAGACUUCUUUAUCCACCAUCUGCAGCAGCCAUUUCAUCCUGGAAGACUACUUGCACCCUGAACGCUGUGUUGAUUGGACAUUUUCUCCCAGAAUUUUACUAUUUUGUUCUCCAGAUCAUUUCACAGAUAAAGCAACUGGGACAAGCAGUGACUUGCACAAAGUCACAAAGCUAGCAAGUGACCAAAG